ensembl:misc_RNA Metazoa_SRP Metazoan signal recognition particle RNA
GCCAGGCGCAGUGGUGCGUGCCUAUAGUCCCAGCUACUAGGAAGGCUGAGGUGGGAGAAUCGCUUGAGCCCAGCAGUUCUGGGCUGUAGUGCGCUAUGCGAUCGGGUGUUCACACUAAGUUCAGCAUCAAUAUGGUGACCUCUCGGGAGCGGGGGACCACCAGGUUGCCUAAGAAGGGGUGAACCGGCCCAGGUUGGAAACGGAGCAGGUCAAAACUCCCGAACUGAGCAGUAGUGGAAUCGUGCCUGUGAAUAGCCACUGCACUCCAGCCUGGGCAACGUAGUGAGACGCUGUCUCUA